UACGUAGGGUGCGAGCGUUGUCCGGAAUUACUGGGCGUAAAGAGCUUGUAGGUGGUUUGUCGCGUUGUUCGUGAAAUCUCACGGCUCAACUGUGAGCGUGCGGGCGAUACGGGCAGACUAGAGUACUGCAGGGGAGACUGGAAUUCCUGGUGUAGCGGUGGAAUGCGCAGAUAUCAGGAGGAACACCGGUGGCGAAGGCGGGUCUCUGGGCAGUAACUGACGCUGAGGCGCGAAAGCCAGGGGAGCAAACGGG
rnacentral:rRNA from 1 species